GACGAACGCUGGCGGCGUGCUUAACACAUGCAAGUUGAACGGAAAGGCCCUGCUUUUGUGGGGUGCUCGAGUGGCGAACGGGUGAGUAACACGUGAGUAACCUGCCCUUGACUUUGGGAUAACUUCAGGAAACUGGGGCUAAUACCGGAUAGGAGCUCCUGCUGCAUGGUGGGGGUUGGAAAGUUUCGGCGGUUGGGGAUGGACUCGCGGCUUAUCAGCUUGUUGGUGGGGUAGUGGCUUACCAAGGCUUUGACGGGUAGCCGGCCUGAGAGGGUGACCGGCCACAUUGGGACUGAGAUACGGCCCAGACUCCUACGGGAGGCAGCAGUGGGGAAUAUUGCACAAUGGGCGGAAGCCUGAUGCAGCAACGCCGCGUGCGGGAUGACGGCCUUCGGGUUGUAAACCGCUUUCGCCUGUGACGAAGCGUGAGUGACGGUAAUGGGUAAAGAAGCACCGGCUAACCACGUG
rnacentral:rRNA from 1 species